GAUCCUGGCUCAGGAUGAACGCUAGCUACAGGCUUAACACAUGCAAGUCGAGGGGCAGCAUGAUUGAAGCUUGCUUCAAUUGAUGGCGACCGGCGCACGGGUGAGUAACACGUAUCCAACCUUCCGUACACUCAGGGAUAGCCUUUCGAAAGAAAGAUUAAUACCUGAUGGUAUCUUAAGCACACAUGUAAUUAAGAUUAAAGGUAUUCCGGUAGACGAUGGGGAUGCGUUCCA
rnacentral:rRNA from 1 species